AAAAAUAUUCCGGUAAUGACAAAAGUAACUUACUUUCGAAUUAAAAAGUUGUUAAAAUUUGCUACAUUAAAAGUUUUUUUCUUGUUUUGAAAAUGAAAACUUUUACUGCUACAGUUUUUGAAAAUCUCAUUGCUCACUGAUUUAAAAGUUUUUCCUUUUAAUUUGACUGUAAAAUUUCUUUCAUUUCGACGUUCUCGUGUAACCGUGUACGCCUAAGUCGCAAAUGUAAACAAACACUUUGGUGGGUCCGGUGGUGCUGGUAUGUCUAGGACGCAAAGCAAAGCCGACCGCGGUAGCAGCCAGGACUCGGACGCGGAAACCUUCGUGAGCCAAACAGCAGCAGCGGAACGCCUUCGAAGGAGGAUGGUGCAGGAGCGGGACGAGGUCGAGUGCUCGAAAAGGACAAGGCCAGCAUCCUGCAGGAACUGCAGCUGUUCCACGGCCGGAAUGCGAUGAGAGGUAGGAAUGUGGAUUCGCACCGGUUGUAUUCGGUGGUGGUGGCCCGGGAUUGGUGAUUGAAGGUCAAUUCACGCGAGGACUGAGGCGAGAUCAUCGAGGAGAUGGCGUUGCCGAAGUGUUGCGUGAACAACGAGGUUUUUGGACAAGUAGGAGAAAGUUUACUUUCACGGUGAGGAGAAGGAUCCGACGAAGAGGAGGACGACGAGAUGCAGCAUAAUCGAAGGUGGUCAGCGCGGAUGAUGCACUCGGAGUCGGCGGUUUACAACACCGCAACUUCCCACCCACAAACACUCACCUCGCGACGGCGCAGCUUCAGCCGAAUGAACCUGGACAGUGAGCCAAAAAAAAAAAUCUGUUUCAUUCCCGAAGUAGGAUUACGUGCUCAAAAUUGAAUUCCGUUCCGAGGGCCUCAUCAACUCCAUGUUCCGGAUGCGCUUCAAGGAUCGGGAACUCCCCGUUCAGGCACUUUACUUUCCAGCCGGAAAACGUCGACCACCCUUCCCGAAUCAACGGCCAGCUCCUCCAAGACUAUCCUGAUUAAGGCCGGAAACGUGACCAUCGUGUUACACUGCUGUCGCGCGUCAAAACCUUCAUCCGGAACCGUCCUGGGGUAUUCGGAAGUGACCGGUGGCGUACCGUAUGAAUCGGUACAGCUUGGACUCGGAUAUUGGCCUACCUUGAGCAGAAACUAGUGGAGAAGCGUUAAAUACAAUAAUUUUUUUUAAAAUACAGUUUAAUUUUUUUUUAAAUAAAUGUAAAAAACCAAGUACAUUUUCCUGAAAUUAUCCCUGUAGUGCUAAAUGUUGUGUAUUCUUGCCAUAAAAGGUUUCUUUUCCAAUUAAAAGUAAAAUACUUUUACCAAUACAACGAUUUUGUUCCAUAAAUGCAUAGUAGUAUCAAAAACUUCCCAACUUUUAAAUUGAAAAGUUUGAACUUUCUACGAAUAUUCACCAACGCGAACUUUUAAUCCAACGAACGAUCUUUUUAAAUUUAGAGUAAUUUUUCUUUG